CGGGAAUUUUGGGCAAUGGGCGAAAGCCUGACCCAGCAACGCCGCGUGAAGGAUGAAGUUUUUCGGAAUGUAAACUUCACAAGAAUGGGAAGAAUAAGUGGGGGAUAAUACCCCCCAUGAUGACGGUACCAUUUGUAAGCUCCGGCUAACUCCGUGCCAGCAGCCGCGGUAAUACGGAGGGGGCAAGCGUUGUCCGGACUCACUGGGCGUAAAGGGUGCGUAGGCGGUCUUGUGCGUCGGCGCUGAAAUCACACGGCUCAACCGUGUGGCGCGUGCCGAUACGAUGAGACUUGAGGCUCUGAGAGGGUGGCGGAACUCCUGGUGUAGUGGUGAAAUGCGUAGAGAUCAGGAAGAACACCCGUGGCGCAAGCGGCCACCUGGCAGAGUACUGACGCUGAGGCACGAAAGCGUGGGGAGCGAA
rnacentral:rRNA from 1 species